AGACAGAGGGUGCAAACGUUGUUCGGAAUUACUGGGCGUAAAGCGCGUGUAGGCUGUUGUGCAAGUCGGGUGUGAAAGCCCUGGCUCAACCCAGGAAGUGCACUCGAAACUGCGCGACUUGAGUCUCGGAGAGGGAGGCGGAAUUCUGGGUGUAGAGGUGAAAUUCGUAGAUAUCCAGAGGAACACCGGCGGCGAAGGCGGCCUCCUGGACGAGCACUGACGCUGAGACGCGAUAGCGUGGGGAGCAAACAGGAUUAGAAACCCCAGUAGUCC
rnacentral:rRNA from 1 species